UACAGAGGGUGCGAGCGUUAAUCGGAGUUACUGGGCGUAAAGGGUGCGUAGGUGGUUGAAUAAGUCAGUUGUGAAAGGCCUGGGCUUAACCUGGGACGUGCAAUUGAAACUGUUGAACUGGAGUUGAGUAGAGGGGAGCGGAAUUUCCGGUGUAGCGGUGAAAUGCGUAGAUAUCGGAAGGAACAUCAGUGGCGAAGGCGGCUCUCUGGACUCAAACUGACACUGAAGCACGAAAGCGUGGGUAGCGAACAGG
rnacentral:rRNA from 1 species